UACGGAGGGUGCGAGCGUUGUCCGGAAUCACUGGGCGUAAAGGGCGCGUAGGCGGCAUGCCAAGCGUGUGGUGAAAGCCCGGGGCUCAACCCCGGGUCGGCCGUGCGGACUGGCGUGCUUGAGCACUGUAGGGGCGGGUGGAAUUCCGGGUGUAGCGGUGGAAUGCGUAGAGAUCCGGAAGAACACCGGUGGCGAAGGCGGUCUGCUGGGCAGUAGCUGACGCUGAGGCGCGACAGCGUGGGGAGCAAACAGG
rnacentral:rRNA from 1 species